AAAAAAAAAAACCCUCCUUCAAGGUUCACGUAACUGCUAUUGCUCCUUCCCUUGCUUGUUGUUGCUCACACCGCCACCACCACCAGUCACCUGCUCGACUGCCGGCGUCCCUCGCCGCCGCCUUCCGUUGUCCGCAACCACCGUGAACCACCUUGCUUCAGCCACCGACGCUGCAGCCUCGCCGUCAGCCUAACCCCGACCACCGCGUACGCCAAACACCACCGUCGGUGCGCCGCUGAGCUCCACCCCGACGCCGUUCCACAGCUGUCGUGCCUCCCUGCCGCCGGCCAGCGCCCUUUCCCUCCUCCUUUUGGCGGAGAAUUCUUUGUAGGCGAUUUUUGAAUUCGUUGAAGCGGCCUAUCGGUUUGUUUACACAAGUCUCUAAGGAUCAAUAAGCAUUGUCCAUCUGCAGGUUUGAAGAUGAUGCAUCAUUGGGAUCGGGAUUAGAGAGCUUGUAUUUAGUUUUGUUUUGCUAAGUGACUUGGUUGGUUUUUGGGAUUAAAUCUGUAAUAGAUUGUUUAUAAACCUAAAGUUAGUUUUAUGUUUUCCGCUGCGAAAUUCUGAGUAAGCCGUUACGUUUUCACACGGGCGAUAAUGCCUUGAUAAUUCUCUACGUUUUAUAUUAAAAGAUUAUUUUAGAAAAUAGAGAAUUGUCGGGGU